rnacentral:rRNA from 1 species
CAUCGUUGCCCCAAUGCCAGUGCCUCUUGCUAGGUCCUGAGCGGGGCGAAUGUUGGCUUCCCGUGAGCCUUGUCUCGCGGUUGGUUGAAAAAUGUGUCUGUGGUGGAGAGCACCACGAUGGAUGGUGGCUGAGUAAAAUCUCGAGACCAAUCGCGUGUGUCUCUCUGCCGGUUUUGGGACUAUGUGACCCACGGGCAUCUACGAUCGCCCAAUACGGGA